UCAGGACGUGGAACCUCAUUCUCAGAACUCUCCCUUCCUACGAGCCGACUUCCCCUGCUCUGGCCGCAAGACCAACGAAUGUUUGCAUCCGCAAAGAAUUUAUAAGCUGAGUCAGACUCCCUCUGAAGCCUCACUUCCUCAAAUGAGCCUAGACACAUCUUCACAUCAAGUUCCUAUGUCAGAACUCUGGGAGGAAUGGAAGUCUGAUCUAAAGAUCAAACGAUCCAAAGGUCUGAGCCAUAUGUUCUGGCUCAGCUUCACCAGGUAACCAUGAUCCCACUUGUUGUUUCUCACCAGUGCUUCCCAACCCACCUUUUUCAAACUCUUCUGGGAAGCCAACCCUAAACACACACACACAGUUGAAUCCCCCUCCACACUAUCAAUGAGACCCUGAACAAGAGGCAAGUUACUUAAGCUUUUGAUGGUAUCAUUUCCUCAUUUACAAUAUUGAGAUACUUUAAUGUAUAUCUCACAGUAUUGCCAUGAAGAUUAAAUCAGUUCUUAUAUGCAAGGUGCUUAGAACAGUCCAAGAUACAUAGAAAGCACUCAAUAAACCUUUUUUAAUAUGUCAGUGAUGCUUCCUUUCUGCUGCCUUAAUUCCUUCUCUGUCAUUCCACUGAUACAUUUUCUGUGUCAUUACUUAGUCAUUAUCUGCUUAGACAUCUCCUUCAUGAGACUAUAGUUUCUUUGAGGACAGGAACUGUGUCAUGUCUGUCCUUUUAUCCCCAGUGUGGAGCACAGUGCCUGACACACAGGCACAUAAUGAAUGUUGUGUGAAUAAAUAAGUCACAAAGUAAGAAAUUUAAGAUCUGUACAGACUGAGUAUCAAAUUCAUUGCUAUGGGGAAAGAAGAGAGCGAGAGGAAAUAUAGCUGAUUGUUAAGAAUGCUUAUCCCUGGAGAUUUGAAUUGAUAGAACAUGUAUUUUCUUCUAUCUACAUUUCUGUUUUUCCAAUAAUGAGGGUGUGGGUAGGGACAGAGUGGGUUCACAGCAGUGUAUACAAGGGACUGAGCCCUGCUCUCACCAGAGAGGUUCAGGGAUUAUAUUAGUGAAGAUGCACUAACAGAUGAACUUGGAAAUUCCGGCAGCUUAACAGAAUAGAAAUUUAUUUCUUGUUCACA
rnacentral:lncRNA from 1 species